GACAGAGGGGGCAAGCGUUGCUCGGAAUUACUGGGCGUAAAGGGCGCGUAGGCGGGAUGGCAAGUCGGUCGUGAAAUCCCUCGGCUCAACCGAGGAACGUCGAUCGAUACUGCUGUUCUUGAGGAUUGCAGAGGAGACUGGAAUUCCCGGUGUAGCGGUGAAAUGUGUAGAUAUCGGGAAGAACACCAGUGGCGAAAGCGCUCUACUGGGCCAUAACUGACACUGAGGGACGAAAGCUAGGGGAGCGAAAGGG
rnacentral:rRNA from 1 species